UACAGAGGUGGCAAGCGUUGUUCGGAAUUACUGGGCGUAAAGGGCGCGUAGGCGGUUCGUUAAGUCCUGUGUGAAAUCCCCCGGCUCAACUGGGGAACUGCACAGGAAACUAGCGGGCUUGAGUUCGGGAGAGGGAAGCGGAAUUCCGGGUGUAGCGGUGAAAUGCGUAGAUAUCCGGAGGAACACCGGUGGCGAAGGCGGCUUCCUGGACCGACACUGACGCUGAGGCGCGAAAGCUAGGGGAGCAA
rnacentral:rRNA from 1 species